UUGACUAACAAGCUAGUCACCCCUGACCCACCCUGCCGAAGGGAGGAGAGAGGACGGCCGGGAACUGGUCGGUCAACAGCACUUGGGCCAAGAUGUGAACCAACCAACCGUGGGGAGGAGACUGGCGACAGAAAGGAGCUGGUGCGCAGAAGCCUCCCGGGCCACCUCCAGCCCGGCCUCGGGGUGACUUAGCGAGGUGGUGCUGAGCUGGCUCCUGGAAGAGGAAGUCUGACCAGGGGACAAAGGCUGAAUGAGUUUUUGUCACCUCCUGUAAUGACACUUGAGUCCUUUGUGGUGGCACCUUUCGUGGCCUCAGCAACACAGGUAAGAGUCAUUCAACCUUCUUCAGCAAACUGCAGUGAUUUUUAAGUGGAUAAAAAAAUUCACAAUCCAAUCUAAAAAUGGGCAGAAGAACUGAACAAGCAAUUCUCCAAUGAAGACAUACAAAUGGCCAAUAGGCACAUGAAAAAAUGCUCAAUAUCGCUAAUUAUCAGAGAAAUGCAGAUCAAACCUACAAUGAGGUAUCACCUCACACCUCACAUGGCCAUCAUUCAAGAGUCCGAAAACAGUAAAUGCUUGAGAGAGUGUGGAGAAAAGGGAACCCUCCUACACUGCUGGUGGGAAUGUAGUUUGGUGCAGCCAUUGUGGAAAACAGUAUGGAGAUUCCUCAAAAGACUAAAAAUACUUACCAUAUGAUCCAUCAAUCGCACUCCUGGGCAUAUAUCCAGAAGGAACCUUAUUUCAAAAAGACACCUGCAUCCCAAUGUUCAUAGCAGCACUAUUUACAAUAGCCAAGACAUGGAAACAGCCUAAAUGUCCACCGACAGAUGACUGGAUAAAGAAGAUGUGGUAUAUUUAACAAUAGAAUACUACUCAGCCAUAAAAAAGAAUAAAAUAAUGCCAUUUGCAGCAACAUGGAUGUCCCUGGAGAAUGUCAUUCUAAGUGAAGUAAGCCAGAAAGAGAAAGAAAAAUACCAUAUGAGAUCACUCAUAUGUGGAAUCUAAAAAAAAAAAAAAAAAAAAAGACUAACUUAUUUACAAAACAGAAACAGACUGACAGACAUAGAAAACAAACGUAUGUUUACCGGGGGGAAGGGGUGAGAAGGGAUAAAUUGGGAGUUUGAGAUUUGUAGAUACUGACUCACAUAUAUAAAAUAGAUAAACAAGUUUAUACUGUACAGCACAGGGAACUAUAUUCGAUAUCUUGUAGUAGCUUAAGGUGAAAAAGAAUAUGAAAAUGAAUAUAUGUAUGUUCCUGUAUGACUGAAGUAUUGGGCUGUACACCAGAAACUGACACAACAUUGUGAACUGACUGUACUUCAAUAAAAAAACCCCAAAAAACUCA